rnacentral:sRNA from 1 species
CCGUGGCCAUUUGAGCUCCAG